AUUUUCCUGCCCGGUUCGAUUACUUCUGUUAAUUCAACCGACAAAUCAGACACGGGAAAUCGUGUUUAGUUACCUAUAACAAGCCUCCACUGAGUGGAAGUUAGAAGUAGUUAGCAGAUUACCCACCUUAUAUUAAGGGCGGGUCUGAAUUAUAUGAAGUCCGGCCGGGCGGGAUUCCA
rnacentral:other from 1 species